GACGAACCUUGCUAACGUUAUUCGGAAUUACUGGGCUUAAAGGGUGCGUAGGCGGUGCGGAAAGUUGGGUGUGAAAGCCCUCGGCUCAACCGAGGAACUGCGCCCAAAACUGCCGUGCUCGAGGGAGAUAGAGGUGAGCGGAACUUAGGGUGGAGCGGUGAAAUGCGUUGAUAUCCUAAGGAACACCGGUGGCGAAAGCGGCUCACUGGAUCUCUUCUGACGCUGAGGCACGAAAGCUAGGGUAGCGAACGGG
rnacentral:rRNA from 1 species